ensembl:lncRNA
UUUGGUUGAUUUUUAUGUGAACGUUCUUAAAGAAAAUAUUAGAAGUUUUACUGAUAUAUAUGGAAUCACUUUAGAUAUUUUUCGGGAUUUUUUGGAAGAUUUUUACUCAUUUUUUGAAAAGAAUUUUCUUGCCAAAUUUGGGGGAUUUUUUUUUUUUUUUUAAUAAAACUUUUAAGGAAUUAUUGGAAUUUUCUUCCUGAAGGUUUUGCAAAUUUUCAGAAAUUUGGGGAAUUUUUUUGCUGAAUUUUUGGGCUUUUUUUCAGACAAGGAAACAACAUUUUUUGGUGCCCAUAAAUGAGGACAACAGGAGGGUUAAAGCUCUCCUGGUGUGACUCUGACUACAUGCUUCAGUUUAUUGUCUGGCUAAAAACUGAAUCUCUCUGGUGACAGGUAACUUGUAUCAGAUUUUCCUCCUGGAUUUCUUUUGCUGCAUUCAUGUCACCUUUUACUCUGCUCCACUGAGACGUCCUCUGGGGUUGCUUCUCCUCUGGGGUUGCUUCUCCUCUGGGGUUGCUUCUCCUCUGGUUGCUUCUCCUCUGGGGUUGCUUCUCCUCUGGGGUUGCUUCUCCUCUGGUUGCUUCAUGCUGGAACUUCAGUUUUAUGAUGUGUAUUAUGUGGCUUACAGCAGACAUGGUAUUUAGCCUCUCAGUUUUGGUGUUCUCAGACCAUGAAAACAUUCUUCCAGCUGAGCUCAUAGUUUCCCACAAUCUGUCUGUCCAACUGUAGCCCAGAUGUUAUGUGAGUUUUUUUAGGAGCUUCUAGUUGCAGCCCAAACUCCCCCACUUAGCCUUCAAAAUCCAUGAGCACUAUUUCUUAAACUGUUUAUGGAUUUGUGUUUUUUGUUUUUUAGUGGUGCACUUGUCAAGCGUGGGGGUUAAAGAUUGGGUAAUCCAUGUUUACCUUGUCAUGUGUGUUAUUGUACUGCAAGCUUCUGACAUAUGAAGGGCUCUGGAGCACAGCACCAAGCUGUUUGUCCAUUACAUGUCUUUGACCGACUGCCUGUUCUGUCAGUAAUGUGUUCAGACAUGUCACUGGAGCUUGCACACGUUGAGUUGUGUUCUGACGUUUGUUGAUUGUGUGUGGACGUGUGUUAGAUUCAGGGCUGUGCAGUGUUCGCUAAAGGAUGACUUCAUGUCAGCUACAAAUACAGGGUUUCAGAAUCUCUCCAAAAGUUGUUCCUACAAUUGAAACCUCGUGACUAAUGAGGUGGUCUCCAUAUUAAUCACAGUUGGAUUGAUUAAAUUACUUGGUUGCACCACAACUAAUUCUUUGUAGAAAAACUCUACUCAAGACAAAAAAAAGAGUAUGGUUAUUUUGUAUAAACAGGUAUUAAGACCGAUACAAGUGGAGUCAUAGUCACUCAAAUAACUACUAAGUCAGAUGAAAGAAAGCAGCUGCUUUUGUGACCAACGCUUUUCCUCAAUUCCUUUUUUGAUGAGGAUGUGACUGACAUCACCUCAACCACAAAGGCACCCCCAGGUGAAGAGGUGAACACAAACCUGUGUUUCCAGUAGAUAAAAUUCCUUCUUUAAUCUUACUGAAAACAGGCCGAAGUUUCGGGUCCAGAGAGGACAGAACACAAACUAGGGGACAGAGAAGACACAAAGUUAGCAAUAUGCAAGUGUGUUGUCUGACUUUAUGGAAGAGAGAGAAAAAAGAGGAGAGGAGCCCAGUGCAUUAUGGGAAUCCUCUGGUUUAUAUAGCAGCAAUAAAUGUAGUGCAAAUUUCCCCUUGUGGGACUAACAAAGGAUAUUUUAUUUAAGCAAAUCUUAAAAGUAGAGAAGAUGACGACCUCCCAAAGCCAAACUGGGAUUGCAUUCCACAGCAGAGGAGCUGAUAACUGAAGGGUCUUCUUCUGGAAACUCUGGAACAACCAGUAAACCCGCAGUCUGAGAAUGAAAGACUCUGUUAGGAUGAUCUGGAACAAUAAGGUUUUUAAGAUAUGAUGGAGGUCAUUAAGAGUUUUAUAUGUUAGAAGCAGGGUUUUAAAUUCUAUCCUGGAUUUUACAGGGAGCUGAUGAAGAGAAGCUAAUAGGAGACAUCUGAUCUCUGUUCCUGGUUCUUGUCAGAACUCUGGCUGCAGCGUUUAGGAUCAGCUGGAGGCUUUUAGGAGAAUUAUUGGGACCUCCUGGUAAUUAUGAGUUACUACUCCAACAUCAAAGUAAGAAAUGAAUCAUCUAAUUUUUAAACUCUGACACAGAAUGUUCCUGAUUUAGACAACAUGGUGCAGGUGACAACAUGCUAUGGAGGAUAUGUCUGUUUCUGUCAUUUGUUUAAAAAAAUAAAUGGAAAGUCAGUCUUGAAGAAAAUGUGGAACUACAAAUGGCUCAUUAGGAGACAAUAUGAUGUUCUAUCAUGAGUUAUCUAUUAAACACAGGUGUGUUCAUUUUGACUUUUACCUGACAGAAGACCCUGUGCAUCUGAAACAUUACUUCAGUUAUAACUGGUGGUCUACCUCUCUGUCUCCUCAUCAUGCUAUGAAUGAUGAUGAGUCUUGCUUCACUAGUCCAUUCUGUAGUGCAUGGUAGUCUGGUGGCACCUCACUAUUCUGCUACAAUAUGGGGAAAUAUGACCUCUUGUUUGUUUGUAUUUCAUUAGACCGAUCACAGCCGUCAUGGGUGGAGCUAAGCAAAGGAUGCUGCUGGUGUUCCAGCAAAAUAGUGACAUGCAGAGAAGCAAACACUGUUAAUGUAUAAUUUUUGCAAAAAAAAACAAACAAAAAAACCCCAAAAACUAGCAGGGCUGUCCUGCUGCUUCCAGUAGUGAAAACAAUUAAAUCAAGCUGAUAGUGGAAGGACAUGACUGCCUGAAAUGAGACGUGGCUCAUACCCACAUCUCACAGCAUCUCACAAAGAUGCCCACUGUGCUUCAGUAUUUACAUUCCAAUGAAAGCAGGGAGAUGACUAGUUUUGAACCAUGAAAUACUAUUAAACAUCUUAACAUUAACAGACACACUUGCUGCUCUGUCAGUUCAGAUGUUCUGAACUCCAACCAUCUGCUCUCUGCACUGUGGUCUGUUAGUAUGAGCUGUGAAGAAAACAAUGAGACUUAAAGUGCCUUGUCAUCUAAAUCAAAUGUUUUGAUGCUAUGGACAGGUCAGGGGGCAUGGCUUUGGUAGAAUAUGAGUGUGAUUAACAACCAUGAAUCCACAAAAUCACAUAUCUGUGUAGUGCAAUGCAUGCAACACAAGUACAGGAAACAGACUGGCAACUUGCUGCUACCCACCUCAGGCCCUAUUAAAAGUGCAGAACACUUGGUAAUUUGCCUUUUUUUUAUUCAUUUGAAUUCUUCUGUAGAGAUCGCAGAGUGUAUAAAAGUCGCAUAAAUUCACUUUGAUUCAGAAUGACAGAGCAAUGAGACACAGAAGCCUCGACAUAUUCCAGUUAGUGACACGAGAACACCUGAGCUCUGCUACAAGGUGUUUCUCUUUACAUCUGCAGGAAGAAAUUACAUAAAACCAGAAAUUUAAAUUAACAAAAUAAAUAAAUUUCAAAUGAGAGUGAGUUGAGUAACUCAUGGAAAUGCAUAAGAACCCAUAGCUAGCUGAAAAUCCCUGAGAUUGUAGCAGUGAUGUGGUUAACACCAGUUCUAGUUGAUGAUCAGUUUCAACAGGAGAGGUGCUAGAAGGAGAUUUCUCUGUUUUGCUUUUUUUUAAAGCCUUUUGUGAACCUUUAUGUGUUUAUGAAUCAAAGUAGGCUUUAAACAGCCCUUUCAGGCAAUAUUUCCUUGAACAGUAAAUGAUUGGUACUUGUAGCUGCUUGCCCUCAGGUCAAAAACACACCCACUCAUUAACAUGUGUAGACAGGAGAGAACUGUACUGGUAGAACAGUACUAGUAGAACCCUAAGAAUUCAUGUCAAUGUGUGAAAUCAUUUCAAAAUCUACUUCUUUUUAAAAUUCAAGGACAAGGAAGAGCAACGAUUUCCUCACAUGUGCAAAGAAUGCCUUUGUGUUUCUUUACCUGCUCUGUCCUCACCUGUCCCAGGAAUCUCAGGACCCCACUCAGAACCCAUUAUUGCUUCCAAGAACAUGAAGAUUUCCCCCGUCAUGUCUUAGGAUGAGAUUCAAUAUAGAUGACUUUAAUUUUAUUUUACUGUUGAAAUGCAUUUAUUACUAUUUAAUGUAAAUGACAGCUCUGAUUCACAUCUUUGGAUUUAGAUUUUUGAAAAAAGGAAACCUUAAAUAUCUUUAAAUAUUUAAAAACACUUUAAAGAUGUGAAGGUUAAGGUUUGAAGGUCAGCAGGUUUGUGAGGUUAUGUGUGCUUGACGUGGGUAUAGAAUGUGCAAAGAGGAUCAUUCUGAAAUGACAGCAUGUGAGCUUCUUAGGACGGAUAGGUGGCUCUAGUCACAGAGACGAAGGUGUGAAAAUGAAAACCUUUGACGAAAGAGUCCCAGACUCAGUCUCUGGUUGGAUAGUGAAAUGCACCUGGUCGACAUGACGGAGCUGCUGCAUCUGUUUUCAGCAUCAGUCUGCUAAAAUUGUAUGUCUCAGUAACAGGUAUAGACAUCUGUGUUUUCAGUUUUUUGUGCUUUUAUAUUGCUCUUCAGUGUAAUGUUUAUUUUUAUAUGUCAAAGGAUAAAAAUAACAUAAGUGGAAAAUAAAAGUGAAUGUUUGCUUAUGAAACUAUUGUAUAUGUUGUUUCCAUGUCCAACAUCAUUUUACCACAAGUCAGUUACUUAAAAAUGGUGUAAUGUUCCAAAGUAUUUAGGGGAAAAAACUACAUGAAAUGCCUCAGUAAGGUGUUCAACCAGCACAGCUUGAUGUUCAAUAGAGCUUUGCAUUGAUUUGCAGACACUCUUCCCUAUAAGGGGACAAGUGGACCCAAACCAUGCCAGCAAACAAUGCUAACAAAUGCUAUCAGAUCCC